rnacentral:rRNA from 1 species
AACGAACGCUGGCGGCGUGCCUAACACAUGCAAGUCGAACGAGAAGUACGUAGCAAUACGUAUUGUAAAGUGGCGCACGGGUGAGUAACACGUGGGUAAUCUGCCCUCGAGUUUGGGAUAACCCCGCGAAAGCGGGGCUAAUACCGAAUAAGACCACGGGGACCAAAAUCUCCGGGGUAAAAGGUGGCCUCUAUUUAUAAGCUACCACUUGAGGAUGAGCCCGCGGCCCAUUAGCUAGUUGGCAGGGUAACGGCCUACCAAGGCGAUGAUGGGUAGCUGGUCUGAGAGGACGAUCAGCCACACUGGAACUGAGACACGGUCCAGACUCCUACGGGAGGCAGCAGUGGGGAAUAUUGCGCAAUGGGCGAAAGCCUGACGCAGCAACGCCGCGUGGGGGAUGAAGGUUUUCGGAUUGUAAACCCCUUUCGACCGGAACGAAUCUCCUCCUGGUAAAUAAUCAGGAGGAUCGACGGUACCGGGAGAAGAAGCCACGGCUAACUCUGUGCCAGCCGCCGCAGUAAAAC